GGCCUCGUAGCUCAGUGGAUAGAGCAGCAGCCUUCUAAGCUGCGGGUCAUAGGUUCGAAUCCUAUCGGGGUCA
rnacentral:tRNA from 1 species